rnacentral:rRNA from 1 species
UACAGAGGUGGCAAGCGUUGUUCGGAAUUACUGGGCGUAAAGGGCGCGUAGGCGGCCUUCUAAGUCAGACGUGAAAUCCCCCGGCUUAACCUGGGAACUGCGUCUGAUACUGGGAGGCUUGAGUAUGGGAGAGGGAUGUAGAAUUCCAGGUGUAGCGGUGAAAUGCGUAGAUAUCUGGAGGAAUACCGGUGGCGAAGGCGGCAUCCUGGACCAUUACUGACGCUGAGGCGCGAAAGCUAGGGGAGCAACGGGG